AUGGAGCGGAUCCGGGAAGGCAGGAGGGCCGCACUGGCCAUGUCCGGCGGGGCGCCACCGCCGCGGCGGCGGCUCAGGAGCAACGGCGGCGGCGUCUCCGGCGGCGCGGGCCCGAGGGACUCGCCUCGGUCCGAGAGGAGGCGGGGGGAGCGGCUCAUGCUCAACGGCAACGGGCGCGACGACGGCGACGACACCUCCGACGACAGCCUCGGCGACGACGACGACGACGCCGACGAGGAGCUCGCCGCCUCCGCGCCCAGGUACCCGCCUGUGCAGCGGCGGUCGCCCAGCACGGCGCCUCCGCCGUCCCCGCCCCAGCCCAGCGCCGCGCACCACCACAGCAGCAGCAGCGGCGGCGGAGGCGGCGGCGGUUACAACAACCACCACCACCACGGCCAGCAGCAGAUGCACCGGAAGGGGGGCUCCAAUCCCAAGGGCCCCAUAGUGUGGAAGGCCGCCGACGAAAUGAUCGGCGUUCCAGUCCCGAGGAAGGCGCGCUCAGCUUCUACCAAGAGGUCUUCGCACGAGUGGACAGGCCCCGGCGGUGGAAGCGGCGGCGGCGCCGCUGUAGACGGCUCGCAGAUCCAGCGGCCUUCUUCACGGCCGAUCUCGCCGGCUUCCACAUCGGCCACCGCCCCUGUUCGGAAAAAGCUGAAAACACUUGGCGGCGGUGGGAGCAGCGGCGGUUCUGGGCCCGUACCGAAGCAGCGGCCGUCGCCGGCCUCAGCUCCUUCGGCAGCCCCGCCUCAGCCGCCACCAGCAAAGAUUUCCAAGUCGCCAUCGUUCAUUCAGGAGGAGAUCGAGGUCGCCGAGGUGCUAUUUGGCCUGACGCGGCAGUUCCCCUGCCCUCCCAAGCAGGAGAACAUGAACCACAAGCCGGAGCAGAAGGACGCGCCGGAGGCCAAGUCCGGGAACUCUUCGCCGGCUCCGUCGUCAUCUGGCGUCCGGCCGGCAGAUUCAGCCUCUCUCACCACUAUAGCCCCAAAGAGGAAGCGGCCACGGCUCGUCAAGUACGACAACGAGAACCGCCCGGCGAGCCCAGCAAAACCGGACACGGCAGAGCCGCCCUCAAGGCCUGAAGUGCCUCCGGUGGCGAGAUCAGAUGCGAAGCCGUCGGUGUCGGUGUCGGCUGUGGCCGAAAGUGGCGCCAGCAGCACCGCCACCGCCACCGCUGGUGCGCAGCAGGAGGCUACCCGGGAGCCAGAGAAGAGGGAGGACCACAGAGGAAGAGAUCCAGAGCUCCGGACCAGCGAAUCAGAUCGACGGGAUCCCGGGCCCGCCGAGCCGCCGGCACCAGCAGUCAAGCCCGACGGCGAGGCUGCUGCGCCGGUCGGCUCUGAGGCCAGGAAUGGGGAGGCCACCACCGCGACAAAGAGUGAGCUGGCAUCUGAUGGCGCUCGGCAAGAAAAGUUUUGCAUUGAUCUCAUGGCUCCCCCUCCUGGGAAGCUAUCUCCUGAUAGAGAUGGCUCUUCCGACCCUGAUGCGGAUAAGAAGGGAUUGGAUUCUGAGAUGGACGUGGCUUUGAGAGGAAAUUCUGAAAAGAAAGAUGGCGAGAGGACCAGGAGAGGCCUGGAGAUCAAUCUGGAGGACGACAAGGCGCAAAGGAUUCCGGCGGAGGAGCUUGCUCCAAAGAAGCUCACGCUGCAGCUGGAUUUGGAGAAGCCCAGCCAAGGGGACGAUAAGUCGCCAUCUGAGCGCAGACAGCCGCCAUUGCUGCCGCCGCAGCAGCAGCAGCAGCAAAAGCCCUCAAAGUCCGAGGUCAAGCAUGAGAAAUCACCUCUACCUGCUGCUUCACCGCCUAUGCCAAUGACCGUCGGCGGCUGGAUGGGGACUUUCCCUCCUUUUAGUUACAUUGCUCCUGUUCCUGGACUAUCAGCUCCUGGGCUUCAUCAUCCUAUGGACAUAAAGCCAGGGACUUCUGCUGGAUUACAGCAUCCUGCAUUGCCUCCACUGCCAGUACGCCCGAAGCGCUGUGCUACACAUUGUUACAUCGCACAGCAGAUCCAAUACCACCAGCGAAUUACAAAGAUGAACUCUUUCUGGCCCACAACAGCGGCUGCAGCCGCUGCUGCCGCCGCCACAAGAUCUGCACCAUUCUUUGGUCCAAGAGGACCAUUCAACAUGGGCGUCGUACCACCUGCGGAGGCUGCCUCCCUUCUCGCGAACCCAAUGCAGGGGAGCUACCCUGUUCGGGCACACGCCCCGCUGCAAGAAACUAAGGCUCCUUCAAUGGUGCCUUCUCCUUUCCAGGGGAGCCUCUCCAAGGAUAAAGCGGCAUCCAGCAGUGCCAGUGUUGCUGAAUCAAACCAAAGGAAGCAACCUCCAGCUCUUGAAGCGCAGCAGUCCUCUCCCAUGCCACCAAACAUGAUGCAAGCGCCAACAUUCAUCUUUCCAUUCAACCAACAUGCUGCAGCAGUAGCAGCUGCAACUGCCGCUGCCAAUCGAAUGGGAGAUACAAAAUCUUCUGGCACCAGCAGUGCGAUGCCAUCAUCUGCCACUGCCCACGCUUCAGCAGCACACCCUGGUGCAGCGGCCAUGAACUUGAGCUUUGCCAACUUGCAGCCGGGUGAUGCCCAGUUCUUGGCCAUCUUACAGAACGGCUACCCAUUCCAGCUCGCUGCUGCUCAUGCUGGAGGAGCUCCAUCAUAUCGAGGCAUGGCACCACCAGGCCCAGGUGUACCGUUUUUCAACGGGCAUGUCUACUCUCCCCACAUGUUGAACCCAUCACAGCAGCAAGGUACGCAGCAACAAAAUCAUCAGAAAAACCCAAUGCCAAGCUUGUCUGGUUCCUCUCAGAAGCAUCAGCCACAACAAUCACAAGGGUUGCUGGGAUAUGCACCAAAUGCUAAUGCUGCUGCUGCCGCGGCCGCAGCAGCCGCUGCCAACAGUUCCCAGAGCUAUUCGAGCGGCAACCAGCGUCCUGUUCUACUACAUGGCCUCGCUCACCGACAGGAUCCAGACAAGGCUCUGCAAGAUGGCCAGUCAAGUGAUGACAAGUCUUCACACCAUCAGAAGGGUGGGCAUGAACAUAAUUUUGCUAUUCCAAUGCAUCUUCCAAAUUUUGCGUUGAUGCCAUCUGCUGGCAAUCAGAGUGAGAAGAAAUCGAAUGAUCACCACCAGCAGCCACCAACCAGUCGAAGCCAGGGGGUUCGAAUUGAUCUUGCUUCAUCUCAGCCUUUUGUGAUGCCCUUUGGCGCUCCUGGUUCUGCUCCAAAUGGUCUUGACUUCUCGUCAUUGGCACAGAACCAUGCGCUUUUCCAGAGCCAUCAAGAAGCAGGCCGGCAUGGUUACCCUCAGCUCAAUUUUGCUUCAGCCCAGUCUGUUCAAGCUGCACAGCAUAAACCCCAGCAUCAAAAUGCUGCAGAAGCUAAAUCUGUGGCUGGGGAUUCAUCUUCAACGCCAAGUGCUGGAGAUAAUGAGAGAAAGAAAUCUGCAUCUGCAAAGUACCCGAGUGAUUCACAGCAGCAUUCUCUUUCUUUCUCUAAGCCAGAAAACAAGUCUUUUAUGCACCCUUUCCUUGGUAGCAGUGCUAAUGAGCCCUCAGUCCGCACUUUGAGCCUUAUUGGUGCGGAAUCUUCGAAUGCCUUUGGGUUAGGCAGCAGCAAAUCUUCAAGUGCUUCUACUGCAGCAGCUACGUCAGCUGCAGCCCCAUCUGCACCAACCAUGUCCCAGCAGCAGCAACAGCAGCAAAUUCAGCUGCAGCUGCACCAACACCAUCAGCACCAGAUGCAGCAACAAUUCCAGCAGCAGCAACAGCAGCAGCAGCAGCAACUCCAGCAGCAGCAACAGCAGCAGCAGCAGCAGCAGCAGCAACUCCAGCAGCAGCAACAGCAGCAGCAGCAGCAACAACAGCAGCAGCACCAGCAACAUAUGUUACAGCUUCAGAAACAGCAGCAGCAGCAGCAAUUGUUUCAAAAUCAUCUGAACUCUCGCCCCAGGUCUGCUGCUCCGAGUAAUGCAAGUGGAUACUCUGACCGUUUGAGUGCGACGAACUUUCAGAAUUUAAUGUAUCCAUCAAGCGCUUCUCAAGGCGGAGUUCCUGGUCAAUCACCUCAAUUGAAGGCAUCGUCGUCGAUGAGAGUGUCAGCUCCACCUUCAGGUGCUUCUGUCCCUGCUGCAUCCUCGCCUUCUAGUUUGAUUAUGAUGAAGAACAGUGGUCUCCAUCAACAAGCAAAAGCUCUGCAGGCUCUCUCCACCCCGAAUCACCAGUCUCAAAGCAUGAGUUCAUCGAAGAUUGGCCACUCCCUUACUAAUCUUUCUACUGGAGGAGCAGGGGACCUAUCUCGAUCUUCAAAUGCUCCUGUUGCUUCUGGUUCGCCAUCUAACUCGGUCUCCAAAAGUACUGGUGGUAGCCCACCUGCAUCUGGAAUUGCGAAGGGUGGCCAGCCAGUUGUCCAAUUGUCAUCACCUCAACAACAUGCAGCAAAGAACUCUCCUUCGACUUCUGGAUCCAAGUCGGCUUCAACAAAUCCCUACAGCAGUAUGCCUAUGCCAUCGAUCCUUGGUCAGCAACCAAACAUGGCUCACUCUGGUGGUAAGCAGCAGUCACAUGGACCCUCAUUGAAACAACAGCAGCCGUUCCCACAAGGCCAUGGCCACGGCCACUUCUUCAUCUCCAAUGCCUUUGCGCCACAAGGUCCGCCUCAGCAUGUAAAUGCUGGAGCUGGUGCUGGCCUCUACCAAAAGCGCUCGGCUGACAAGACGCAGCAGCAGCAGAAUGCUGUAUCUGGUUCGUCUGCGAUGCUCUCUCUUGGUUCCAUGUCGAUGUCCACAUCUGCGAUUCCAGCUGAUGCGGGGAAGGCUCAUAGUGCAGCUGGCAGUAACAUGAAGGCCAAUCUUCAUCCAGCACCUGGUGGUUUUAUGCACCUUGGGACAGCGGGGCAAUCUGCGAGUGGUUCGCCUCACUCUCACUCUCACCUUUCAGCGGCACAAUUGACGUUUUCAAUGCCGAUGCCCGUAAAGCCUACCAGUGAUCAGAAGCCUGCUGCUGGUAAGUAA
rnacentral:rRNA from 1 species